rnacentral:lncRNA from 1 species
GCUGCGGGUUCUCGUACUCUUUCCAAGUGUGAUAAGCUUGCUAAAGAAGACUUCAACCUUUGUGCGUGUGUGACUGCAACUAUCGAUUUAAGUGAUCACCAGCUGCUUGUUGCCCUCCUGAGUGGACAAAGUCUACCUACAGAACCACUUGCAAGCCCUGGGAUUCAGCUUUGUCCCGCUGUUUCCAAAUUUGAGGUGCUCAAAUAUUGACUCCGAGGACCUUCCAUGCCAGAACCACCCAAGGUGAGAAACCUGGAAGUGAACCUGAAGAGGCGAAGCUGCAGAACGCCAGCAAACAGAUCGUGCAGAAUGCCAUCCUGCGCGCUGUGCAGCAGGUCUCCCAGGAGAGUCGGCGGAGGGAAGCCAGAGCCAGCGGCACCCAGGGCAGCCCCCAGCGGGGCGUGGGGGAGUUAACCAAGAAGCAUGAGAAGAAGUAACACCGUGGAUUCGGCCCUUGUCACACUGCUUGGUCUUCAGCCUUCCUCUUAGUAUAGGAUGUGUCGCCAAAAUGUUGCCAGUAAAGCAAACCAAAGUGUCAUAGGCACCUAGCAGUAGGAUGAACUUGCACGAGCCCCUCGUUGGGAUGCACUGUUCUGACAAAAGUGCAUUAGACGAUUCUGUUUAAACACAGUGCCUCGGAAACAUAGUCGGGCCAAACACGACACUGUAAUUGCAAAAGUAGUUUUGCAGCACAAUUCCUUUUUAAAAUCUUUUUUUUUUAAAUGAUUCUGUCUUGUUUAUUUAAUUUUGCCUUUUGUGCAUUUUUUCUGUGAAUUUAACCAGCAGUCCUUUUUUGCUGAAACAUUGAGUGCAGUACUGAGAUCUGUAUAAUAUUUUAUAAAGACAUGCUGGAAGGGUGAAGGAAUAUUGUUUGAGUGCCCCUCAAAUAUGGAAUUGAAGGUUUUAAUAAAGUGGGUUCAGGUCCAAGAUCAAAUUAAGCAAAAAGCAAAUCCUAAGACCAAGUCCCUCAGGAUCUUAACAAGGUGUGUAUUUAUAUUACUUUUUUAAAAAGGAGGAAUUUCGCUUUUCCUGUAUUCAGUCUGAAAUCUCUCAGUUGUUUGAUACUCGGUAUUUACUCUCUGUGCAGAAAUCCUUUGGAAAUAUUACGGAUUACUUUUUCCAUCUCAAGAUGAAAAUAAGACAGGUACAUCUAUAUGCAUGAGUUGUCAAUGUUAGCAACCCCUUGAAGAGCAGCAAGAAUUGUAGGUUGCAUCCUGGAGAUACAGUAGUGCCUGAUGAUGGUAUAUGGUGCCUUUGGGAGGAGCUCUUGGAUCUUAUAAAUGCUGUGGGGCCUUCAGGCUAUGCAUCUGCACUAGUACCUUGCUAAUAGGAAAUUUCCUUGUCCCACCCACGAAUUACAUUUUUCUUGAGAUUAUGAAAAUCAUAUGUAUUGGGAAUGAAUGUUGCUUCAAAUGGGAAAAUCAUUCUCUCAACUUUCUGGAACAGCAAAAGACAGUGGGAACAGUCGAGCAACCGUGUUGUGAAUGCAGUUAUGGAAGCGUGUGUGUGAGUGAAUAAAGCCAUCUCCGCAGCAGAAUGACUUCUGCUUCACCCCCAUGGGGGUAACACAUAGUUUUCUAUGUCCUUAGCAUCCCAUUUCCUGGGCUUUGCAGCAGUUAUUGAGUUGGAGCUAUUGGGAACAGAGGGAGAAUUUGGCCUUUGUUAGAGAUCUUUUGGCUUCGGGGUGUCAGUGUCUACAUUUGAUAGUUUUUUUAAAAAGCAAAGUAUCAGCAUCUAAAGGGUGACAGAUAUGAAGAUCUGCUUCUAAAAUUCCAACAUGUUACACUUUCCAGAAGGGAUAUUAUUGAGAAAUGGAUGAACACAGUCUCUUAUUAGUUCUCUUAGACCAUCUCACACCAUGCACAGAUGGAAUAAGUUCACAGGGAGGAUGUCUGUGGGAGGGAGCAGAGGGGUAAACAUUUAAAUGUGGUUUAUUCAUAAUUUUCUCUGAAUAGUUCUCAUGACAAUUGAAGAAUGAGUUCAAGGUGACCUGAAGUCAUAUAACUGAGUAGAACUAUACCGCAUAGUUAAUAGGAAUAAAAUAUUAGGGGAAAUUAUUCAAGAGUAUACGCACACAGACACACACACACACACACACACACACACACACACACAAAUAAACCCACUGCUUGUAGUUUGCAAAUGAUCUGACACUCUGUCUGCUAGGAUAUCUGAGUAGAAUCAGCCUUGGACUUGGUUGUCAUAUGGCAGAAACACAUAAACACACUCUCUUUCCUCUCUGGUGUGUCUGUGUUAAUACCUUGGGGAUCUUUGAGAAUAUCUGAUUAACCUCUGUAUCUAAAUGUUGUUUAUAAAUAAAACAUAUC